GUGAACGCUGGCGGUAGGCCUAACACAUGCAAGUCGAACGGCAGCACAGUAAGAGCUUGCUCUUACGGGUGGCGAGUGGCGGACGGGUGAGGAAUACAUCGGAAUCUACUUUUUCGUGGGGGAUAACGUAGGGAAACUUACGCUAAUACCGCAUACGACCUACGGGUGAAAGCAGGGGAUCUUCGGACCUUGCGCGAUUGAAUAAGCCGAUGUCGGAUUAGCUAGUUGGCGGGGUAAAGGCCCACCAAGGCGACGAUCCGUAGCUGGUCUGAGAGGAUGAUCAGCCACACUGGAACUGAGACACGGUCCAGACUCCUACGGGAGGCAGCAGUGGGGAAUAUUGGACAAUGGGCGCAAGCCUGAUCCAGCCAUACCGCGUGGGUGAAGAAGGCCUUCGGGUUGUAAAGCCCUUUUGUUGGGAAAGAAAAGCAGCAGGUUAAUACCCCGCUGUUCUGACGGUACCCAAAGAAUAAGCACCGGCUAACUUCGUG
rnacentral:rRNA from 1 species